GAACGUUGCAAACGAGCCGCCGCGGCGGAUAGAACGUUGCGGGGUUCGAUCGAACGUUGCGGCAGCGUGGGAAGGCGGUGGGGUGUGUGGGGAAGCGUUCUUUGUUGUUUUAGAACGUUGGGCGAUUGCGGGAGAAUGUUGCAACGGCGGAGCUGCAAGAAAGGGAUCGCGCGCGGGGGGUGGGGGGGGGAGGAAGACGGUAUCUACGCGCGAUCGGAUACUUUUAAGCUCGUAACCCCCCAGCUAUUGCGGUCCCCAGGGCGCAUGCGUACAUGCUAGAGGCAGCUGGGGUGUGCUUGGGACGGGAGUUGUGACAGCUCAAACGGUAGAAGGAGCCCCCUGAAUACUACUUGACUGGCGGGGCGGAUGUGGGGCUGGAGAGAGAGCAGAUAGGAGCCCGGUUCGGUGAACCACUUAGCUCGGCGCAACAACUCGAAGCUGCGCCUGCAAGGCUACCAUCUCAAGCGCGGUUUGCUAAAAAUCAAGGGCCAUUGUACUCGAUAAGACUUAAGGAGUAAACAAGCGAAGGCUCCAGCUGUGCUGCGUUUCGCCUCCCACCCUUUCCUGCUGCCACUGAGCAUGCUCUACGGAGAAUAUUUGCUCGAGCUGCCAGCCUGUGGACGCUUAAUCUGGGCGCGGGCCCCGCUGGACAGAGUCGCAGUUGCUUCCGAGUUAGCAGCCGUGGGCUGGCGGACGCUGUGCGUGUAUACUCGGAAAGCAGCGUCCACUGCGCUAGGUGCGGGCUUGCUAGCUCCCGGGAUCUGGUACCCAGACGCUGUUUUAGUCUACUAAAAUGGAAUUAUCAGCACAAAAGCCGUGUCUUGACCUACUUUCUACAAAUUAAUCCGCUGUUACGUUGCGUGAGCAAAACUCUUUUGUCCCAGACCGGAGCGGGGAGGGGUCUCCCCAGAGACUCCUGAAUGGCUGCAGGUUCCCCGUCCCUAAUUUAAGGCGAGCGAGCAGGACCCCAUUCCACUAAAAAGCGCGCGGUGUGUGUGUGUGUUAACGACGCAGAGAGGCGAGACUUGCUGCUUCUAUUUUGCAUGUUUACUUGGCAGUCGAUUCUGUUAAAUUGUAAUAAGCCCCUUUCCUAAGGAAGCGGGCGGGCGGGCGUGCCUGUCUUGUUAGGAUUGCAGCUUUCCUUCCAGCGAUCUCAGGCGGCUCAGAUAGGAGAUCCUGUAGCUUGACAUCCAGCGAGCCUGGCGAUUCAGUUGUCAAAGGGCUACAAAACAACCAGCGGGGUGGGGGUGGGGGUGGGAGGCCUCUCUUGAGCCGUGGUAGGCCAGAAGAAGUCACGCGAUUAAGAUGCAUUUACCAAUGAAGGCUUCCAGGGGCGGGCUUACUCUCUUUGAGUGGCAGGAGGAAGGGAAUUCUUGUUUGCUUGUUUUCAGGCAUGGUGAGAGCCAAAUUGUGAGCUGAGGGAAACUCCAUGCAAAAUUGCAUGUCAAUCAUGCGGGGCGGCGACGGAAAUUUGCAAACGGCCAACAGCCCUGCUAACAGGAGAUUGAUGGAAGGGCUAGGGCCACCCUGUGGAUAUUGUGCUUAGCUGUGCCAAUCCAUGAUUCCAGAGUGAAACCUCCUAAUACAGUGGUACCUCGCAAGACGAAUGCCUCGCAAGACGAAAAACGCGCAAGACGAAAGAGUUUUCCGUUUUUUGAGUCAUUCCGCAAGACGAAUUUCCCUAUGGGCUUGCUUCGCAAGACGAAACGUCUUGCGAGUUCUUGCGAGUUUGUUUCCUUUUUCUUAAAGCCGUUAAUAGCCGCUAAGCCGUUAAUAGCCGUGCUUCGCAAGACGAAAAAACCGCAAGACGAAGAGACUCGCGGAAUGGAUUAAUUUCGUCUUGUGAGGCACCACUGUAGCUUGCUGUAAAGUAGACUAAAAGCAGUGCACAGUUAAAUUAUGGCAUUUGCUCCCUCAGGAGGCAGUGAUGGUCACAAACUUGGACUGCUUUAAAAGAGGACUGGGCAAAUUGCAUAGGGUGGAUGGUUGUUAAGUGCAUUAACCACUCAGCUGACACUAUUAUUUAUUUCUUUAUUUUUACCCCAGAGGGAGCGAGUCUGGCUUCUCCAGGGAGGGAUUUCCAGAGUCUGGGAGCAGCCACUGAUUACCCCAUAUAUAUGUGUGUGUACACAUUACUUUUCUUCAAUGGAACUUGGGACAAGGUACCGUAUUGUUCGCUCUAUAAGACGCUCCAGACCGCAAGACACACCUAGUUUUUGGAGGAGGAAAACAAGAAAAAAAAUAUUCUGAAUCUCAGAAGCCAGAACAACAAGAGGGAUCACUGUGCAGUGAUAGCAGCGAUCCCUCUUGCUGUUCUGGCUUUUGGGAUAGCUGCGCAGCCUGCAUUCGCUCCAUAAGACGCACACACAUUUCCCCUUACUUUUUAGGAGGGAAAAAGUGAGUCUUAUAGAGCAAAAAAUACUGUACAUAGAAGAUGCAGGUACAGUGGUACCUCGGGUUAAGUACUUAAUUCGUUCUGGAGGUCCGUUCUUAACCUGAAACUGUUCUUAACCUGAAGCACCACUUUAGCUAAUGGGGCCUCCCGCUGCCGCCACACUGCCUCUGCGCGAUUUCUGUUCUCAUCCUGAAGCAAAGUUCUUAACCCGAGGUACUAUUCCUGGGUUAGCGGAGUCUGUAACCUGAAGCGUAUGUAACCUGAGGUACCACUGUAUUUUUCUUCCAGGCACAAACCCAGCUCCGGCCUUUCUUAGCUUAAGCAACCUUAGUGUAGGAUUGGAGUGGGGAACAUUAGGCCAGUGGGGGGUGGGGCAUAGCUGUCAACUUUCAGAUUUGAAAAUAAGGGAUCAGCAUCCUCACCUGUCCCGGGGACAGUCUACGGGAUAUCUAACAAUCCGGGAUAGCAGCGGGAAACGGCGCUGGAAUAAGGCAAUUUCCCUCCAAUAAAAGGGAAGGUUGACAGCUAUGGGGGGGGGGAGGGAAAUGUGACCUUCCAGGUCUCCUAUCUGACUCAAGCUAAGAGUUAACGAUUGGGGGAGCUUCUUAAUUAUUUUUCUCUGUUAUUACGUGGUUAUUAUGGGAAGCUGUCUUACCGAGUCCGACCGUUAGUCCCUUCUGACCCCUGGUCCUUCUGACCCCAUUAGUCCCUUCUGACCCCUAGGGAUGAUGGGAGUUGUAGUCCAACAAAAGUCAAACAAGUUUUGAGAAACACUGCUCUAGGUCAAUAUUGUCCACACUGAUUGGCAGUAGCUCUUUGAGGACAUUCACACCUUUACCUGGAGAUGCUAGGGAUUGAACCUGGGACCUUCAAGGUGCUCUACCACUAAGCUACAGGCCUUACCCGAGUGGGUCUCUCUUCCCUGCAGUUCAAGACUGACAGCCUUGUGACAUCACCUGCUCUUUUUGGCCUGCAUCCCUUCCAGUCGGGAUUCAGGCCUCAUCAUGGGACUGAAACUGCCUUGGUCGCACUGGUUGAUGAUCUCCGGUGGGCUAUGGACAAAGGUGAGAGCUGUUUCCUAGUUCUGCUGGAUCUCUCAGUGGCCUUUGACACCAUCAACCAUAACAUCCUUCUGGACCGUCUUGAGGAGCUGGGGGCACUGUCAUACAGUGGUUCCGCUCCUUCCUCCUGGACCGUGUUCAGAAAGUGGUGGUGGGGGAUGAGUGUUCAGACCCCUGGGCUCUCACUUGUGGGGUGCCUCAGGGUUCUGUCCUCUCCCCCAUGCUUUUCAACAUCUACAUGCAGCCGCUGGGAGAGAUCAUCAAGGGGUUUGGACUGGGUGUUCAUCAGUAUGCGGAUGAUACCCAGCUCUACCUCUCUUUCAAAUCAGAACCAGUGAAGGCAGUGAAGGUCCUGUGUGAGUGUCUGGAGGCGGUUGGAGCUUGGAUGGUGGCUAACAGAUUGAGGUUGAAUCCUGACAAGACAGAAGUACUGUUUUUGGGGGACAGGAGGCGGGCAGAUGUGGAGGAUUCCCUAGUCCUGAAUGGGGUAACUGUGCCCCUGAAGGACCAGGUGCGCAGCCUGGGAGUCAUUUUGGACUCACAGCUGUCCAUGGAGGCACAGGUCAAAUCUGUGCCCAGGGCAGCUAUUUACCAGCUCCAUCUGGUACCUAGGCUGAGACCCUAUCUGCCUGCGGACUGCCUCGCCAGAGUGGUGCAUGCUCUGGUUAUCUCCCGCUUGGACUACUGCAAUGCGCUCUACGUGGGGCUACCUUUGAAGGUGACCCAGAAACUAAAACUAAUCCAGAACGCGGCAGCCAGACUGGUGACUGGGAGCGGCCGCUGAGACCAUAUAACACUGGUCUUGAAAGACCUCCAUUGGCUCCCAGUACGUUUCUGAGCACAAUUCAAAGUGUUGGUGCUGACCUUUAAAGCCCUAAACAGCCUC